AACCUUCUCCAGAUACUACAGGUCGCUCCGUGUGAAACUGAAAAAGUCCAUCACCAAAGCUGGUUUUGCGUGCUCGUGUGUGUCAGGUCCCCACCCCACCCCCCUUUCCUUCCUCUUAUUUUUUUUCUCUGCACUUCCUCCUCUCUGAGCAUCUUCGACUCGCUGGGCUACCCGGCUGCUAAGAGCGCGGACCUGGCGGGCCUGGCGGUUCCAGUUCGCGCGACGCAAAGCGCCGCGACGUCGACAGAGCACCGAGGGGUCGGGAAGGCAAUCCGAAGGGAGAGGAAGUGAUGAAGAGGAUUAACACCCUGCUUCUAAUUCUGGCCAACUCGGAGGCCUUGCAUGGAAAAUCAGAAGUGACAGGAAUCCUGGAAGAGAGCCACCUGGCCAUCAGAAAAUUCCAGAGGGAUGUGGUCACUGCCAGACACACACUUGGUCAGAAGACACGAGUGAAAACAUACCAGUAACCAAAUAUAGUGGUAUCAAACCUAAUGAGGAAUUAAAAAAAAAAUUUCUUAUAUGUUUAUUUAAAAAAAUAAAUAAAAAAGUUUUUAAAAAAUUUCUAAAA